CAUCUGGACAGGCUGUUCCCCUUGGAGGGGUGAGCUGUUUGUUGGGAGGAGGAGUUUAACCUUGAGGCGCUCCCCCUCGCUUAGAAGAAACAAAUUUGAGUAGGAGAUUGUGUAUGUUAAGAUUUGAAGAGGAGAAUGAGAAGUACAGCAGCGGCUAAGGGCCCUCGGUCACAGGUGAAGUUGUAACAGGGGGUCCCCAGGAAAGGGGAGGUUCCAGGUUCCCUGCCCCACCCAAGGGAGGGUGGAGCUGAGCAGGGAGAGGAGAAGCUGCAGAGGAGACUGAGAAGGAAGGAAGCAGGAUGGCAGAACCUGUUUAGAGCAGGCAGGGUUGCAGGGUCUGGGCUGCCCCCUCCCUGCCCUGGAGCAAAGUCAUUGGGGCCAGCAGCUGAGUGUAGGCUUAGUCACAAGCUGAGCAGUAGUAGAAUAGCAAGUGUUGGGGUUGGGACAUGAGAGCACAUUGCACCAGGGACGCAGCCCAUUUUUCGAGUGCCCUUAGACUGAAAGAAUGUCGGUGGGAUAUUUGUUCCUCGCAGAGGAGCUGUUCUAAAUCCCCUGUGUCCCUAGUUAGAGCAACACCCACCCUGGGAGCCCUGAAAUGCUGGAGUAAGGCACAAAGCCAGGCACUCAGCAGGAGGGUUGGCUUGCUGUGUGUGCAGAGUCCCAAGGCCAGGGAAAAAUACUAGUUUCUUAGUUUAGUUAGGGACAGUGUUGUGCGACUUAUCACUGGGAGGCUUGUCAGACUCUCAGGAAAGUUGGGUGAGCUUUAAAGUAAAGUUAGAGUGAGGACCGCAGUCCUUCUUUUUAUUUAUUUAUUUUUUAAGGAAUAUUUCUUAUAAUACAAGAAUCGUGGUACAGGCCAGAUGCUUGAGAGGGUGAGAGGAUUCACCAGAGACAGAGUGGGGAACAGAACAGGCAGACUGACUGAAAUACACAGCUGGGAGGAGCAUCAGGGAGGCAGGAGAGGUCUGCUGUGAACAUGGGUAUCUCUCUGUCCGGGGAUCCAACCUGUGCUGCAGUGGCCGAGGAGAGUCCCAUGGCCUGCAUCCCAACCCCUUGCCCCACCAGGGAGGCGCCAUAAAAUGAUUUUUAAAAAUAUUUAUUUAUUUAUGCAUACAAAAGCUGGGGUACAGGCCAGAGAUGCAGGGUGUGAGAGGAUCCACCAGAGAGUGGGAAACAGAACAGCAGACUGACUGAAAUACGCUGCUGAGGGGAGCAGCGGGAGAGACAGGAGAGGUCUGCUGUGCCAUGUGAGUCAGUUCCCCGGCCAGGGAUCAAACUUAUCCUUCAAUGGUUGUCAUAGCUUCAUAGUGCUGUACUGAACCCCUUGUGCCACCAUGGGGCUCCUCACAACUCUCUUUUCACCUUGUGUCCUACGUAGAGUUCUGCUGGUGGCCAUGUAGUAACUGUAUAUUUUGAUUUCAGGAACCCUUGACCUGCAGAGAUGUGCCCAUCGAAUUCUCACACAAGGAGCAGGAGGUCCUGGACCAGCUGCAGUGGAAAUUGUACAGGGACGUGAUGCUAGAGGCCUACAGAAAUGUGGUGUCCUUGGGUCUUGCUGUGUCUACGCCCGAGCUGGUCAUCUUGUUGGAGCAAAAAAAUGGAGCCCUGGGAUGUGAAGAGAAGUGUAGAUUCCGUCCUCCUCCCAGGGUUCCAGAGACCUCUGAAAAUGAUGAGGAAGCUUGCCUCCAUUGGCAGGACUAAAUAACCCGGUUCCCUGAAUAGAAAGCUCUGUCAUAAAGCCUGAACUCUUUUGUCUUUUCGCUGCCAUUAAUGAUGUACACUUCAAACAACCUGGACAGGACACCGAUAAGAUCCCAGUGCGUGCCUACGUUGGAUACCCCUUUGUUAUACUUCUGGGGAAUGCCUCAGCUGCACGCAUUCAAUUGCGUGGGACUUCUUACUCCAUUCAUUGUUCUGGCUGCAUUGUUACUAAUUGUAUUAUCCCCUCUCUUGCUCGUUUGUAUCCUGUUGUAAUCUUACUUAAAAUACCCCCUAUGUUAUGUUACCUGUUGAUUUACAUGAUAUGCCUUGGUAUAAUAAUACUGCCAUGCAAGUUUUAAAUGAAGUACAUGCUCUUCUUCGUCCUAAACGUUUUAUUGCCACCCUUAUUCUAGAAAUUGCUGCUCUAAUUUCCCUGGUUACCUCCUUAGCUACUUCCUCUGUUGCUUUCAUUCAGGAAGCUAAGACAGCUUCUUUUGUAAAUGACCUUACCAAAAAUGAGACCAUGGCACUCUCUGUGCAGUGGGACAUUGACUACAAGUUAGAAAGAAAGAUAAAUGCCCUGGAAGAAAUUGUCAUUGCCAUUGGAGAUGAAGUUCAGCUGCUUAAGCAGCAAUUAUCCACUCACUGCCACGUUCAGUUUCGUUUCAUUUGUGUUACACCUUUGCGUUAUAACUCCUCUCUACAUUGGAAUCUUACUAAACAUCACCUAUUUGGCAUCUGGCAUGACAAUGACCUCUCUCAUGACCUUACAUCUCUUCAGUCUAAAAUCUCUGCUGUCAGUAAAUCUCACCUAGAUACUUCAGUCUCUUCCUUUGCCCAUUCUCUGGCUUCCACUCUCCAAUCUUUAACUCCUACUCACUGGUAUCAUCUUGUUCUCUCCUUCCUUGUUCUUUCCCUACUUGUCCUGCUUCUCUGUUUGUUUGUUCCCUUCUGUGUCCGCUCACUUCACUUCACAUGCAUCCAGUGUGACAUGUAUGCUUACCAACUUCGUUCUAAAAACAAAGGGGGACCUGCUGCACCCCCCCCUGCAGUGACCUUCAGGGCUAAUGGCUGUUGCCAUGGUCCCUGAGGUCCGGCGUGGGCAAGGAACCAUGCGCGCAGGGGGAGAACAGCAAACUCCCUAAGAUGCAGAGAAGCCGAAUGCCUGCCAAGAGAUAACGACCACCAGAAGCCGCCACAAAGAUGGUUAAAAGAAAUGCUGACCACCUGGAACCUUAUCUCGCUUUCUCAAGGCCCACAAACUUUAUUCUGCUACAACUGUCUUUCUAAAAUCUUUCCUUUUUCUGGUCAUUGAUUGCUAAUUAAAAAACAUACGUAAUUUAAUAAUUAGGCUAAUGCAAAUGAAACAUUACUAAACACUGUGUUAUAAUAGAAUUGUUGGUUUAAUAAUCUUUCUAUUAUGUGCUUAACCUUAGUACCUUUGAUAUUAACUGCAUUAUAAUAUAAAUUUACCUAUGACAAUUAAUUAUGAGUAAACAUAAGUAAGUAAUAGUAGUAGUAAUUAGUACAAAAAUAUAGAGUUAAUAACCUGUCCAAUUAGGAAUAAGGCUAGGUCCAGGUGUAACUUCGGACAUAAGUCACUGCCCUGUCAAUUAAGCUAAGCCUAUGAGCAAACUGAUCUCUUUGAUGUUCACUGUUCCUAUGCCUUUAGAAAAAACAUAUAUAUACUGACCACUAACUUAAUAAAAGCGCACUCAGAUUUAUACUCUCUCUUGAAGUGUGUCUGUUUGUCAU